rnacentral:rRNA from 1 species
UACAGAGGCCUCGAGCGUUAGGCGGAAUCACUGGGCUUAAAGCGUGUGUAGGCGGACUUCUAAGUACCUUGUGAAAUCCCACGGCUCACCCGUGGAACUGCUUGGUAUACUGGUUGUCUUGAGCCUUCUAGGGGCGAGUGGAACAAAUGGUGGAGCGGUGAAAUGCGUAGAGAUGCGGAGGAACACCAGUGGCGAAAGCGACUUUCUGGUCCUUAACUGACGCUGAGGC